rnacentral:rRNA from 1 species
AGUGAACGCUGGCGGUAGGCCUAACACAUGCAAGUCGAACGGCAGCACAGUAAGAGCUUGCUCUUACGGGUGGCGAGUGGCGGACGGGUGAGGAAUACAUCGGAAUCUACUUUUUCGUGGGGGAUAACGUAGGGAAGCUUACGCUAAUACCGCAUACGACCUACGGGUGAAAGCAGGGGAUCUUCGGACCUUGCGCGAUUGAAUGAGCCGAUGUCGGAUUAGCUAGUUGGCGGGGUAAAGGCCCACCAAGGCGACGAUCCGUAGCUGGUCUGAGAGGAUGAUCCGCCCCACUGGAACUGAGACACGGUCCAGACUCCUACGGGAGGCCGCAGUGGGGACUAUUGGACACUGGGCGCAAGCCUGAUCCAGCCAUACCGCGUGGGUGAAGAAGGCCUUCGGGUUGUAAAGCCCUUUUGUUGGGAAAGAAAAGCAGCAGGUUAAUACCCCGCUGUUCUGACGGUACCCAAAGAAUAAGCACCGGCUAACUUCGUG